CAGCGCGCAAUUACCCACUCCCGGCACGGGGAGGUAGUGACGAAAAAUAACGAUACGGGACUCAUCCGAGGCCCCGUAAUCGGAAUGAGUACACUUUAAAUCCUUUAACGAGGAUCAAUUGGAGGGCAAGUCUGGUGCCAGCAGCCGCGGUAAUUCCAGCUCCAAUAGCGUAUAUUAAAGUUGUUGCGGUUAAAAAGCUCGUAGUCGAAUUUGUGUCUCAUGCCGCUGGUUCAUCGUUCGCGGUGUAAACUGGCGUGACAUGGGACGUCCUGCCGGUGGGCUUAGCUCUUAACGGGGCGGCCCUAUACAAUCCUGCCGCGUUGCUCUUGAUUGAGUGACGAGGUGGGCCGGCUCAUUUACUUUGAACAAAUUAAAGUGCUUAAAGCAGGCUAAAAAUUUGCCUGAAUAUGUGUGCAUGGAAUAAUGGAAUAGGACCUCGGUUCUAUUUUGUUGGUUUUAAGAACUCCGAGGUAAUGAUUAAUAGGAACGGAUGGGGACAUUCGUAUUGCGACGUUAGAGGUGAAAUUCUUGGAUCGUCGCAAGACGAACAUAAGCGAAAGCAUUUGUCAAAAACGUUUUCAUUGAUCAAGAACGAAAGUUAGAGGUUCGAAGGCGAUCAGAUACCGCCCUAGUUCUAACCAUAAACGAUGCCAGCCAGCGAUCCGCCGAAGUUCCUCCGAUGACUCGGCGGGCAGCUUCCGGGAAACCAAAGCUUUUGGGU
rnacentral:rRNA from 1 species